AUCCCGCCCCCGUUGCCGGGAUACGCCACAGCGCACGGCCGCUAGUGGGUAGGCCUGAGACCGGAGGAAAACUGCGCGUGGGCCUCAGAAAGAAGUUAGGGCACACGCGAGUCGGGCGAUCGCCCCCCUUCCGCGCCGGCGGAGUGAUUAAAGUAAAGAAACAAUGGCCAGCAAUCACAAAUCUUCAGCAGCUCGCCCUGUUUCAAGAGGUGGAGUUGGAUUAACAGGAAGGCCUCCUUCUGGGAUACGACCCCUAUCAGGAAAUAGAGUGGCAACUGCAAUGCCACCUGGGACAGCAAGACCAGGUUCUCGUAGUGGUCCCAUAGGGACUGGUGGAGUUCUGUCUUCUCAAAUCAAAGUUGCCGAUCGCCCUGUAACACAACAAGGUUUGACUGGAAUGAAAACUGGGAUGAAAGGUCCCCAGAGGCAAAUUUUAGACAAAUCUUAUUAUCUUGGGCUUCUUAGAAGUAAAAUAAGUGAACUUACAACAGAAGUUAAUAAACUUCAGAAGGAAAUAGAAAUGUACAAUCAAGAGAAUUCAGUAUAUUUGUCGUAUGAAAAGAGGGCUGAGACUUUAGCUGUUGAAAUGAAAGAGUUUCAAGGACAACUAGCAGACUACAACAUGUUGGUAGAUAAACUUAAUACCAACACUGAAAUGGAAGAAGUAAUGAAUGAUUACAAUAUGCUUAAAGCUCAAAAUGAUCGAGAAACACAAAGUAUGGAUGUCAUAUUUACUGAAAGACAAGCGAAAGAAAAACAAAUGAGAAGUGUAGAAGAAGAAAUUGAACAGGAAAAACAAGCAGCAGAUGACAUUAUCAAAAAUAUGUCUCUUGAAAACCAAGUCAAGUACCUAGAGAUGAAAGCCACAAAUGAGAAACUGUUACAGGAAUUAGAUACACUUCAACAACAAUUGGAUUCACAGAACAUGAAAAAAGAGAGCAUGGAAGCAGAAAUAGCUCACUCCCAGGUGAAACAGGAGGCUGUAUUGCUGCAUGAAAAGCUUUAUGAGUUGGAGUCCCAUCGAGAUCAAAUGAUUGCAGAAGACAAAAGCAUAGGAUCUCCAAUGGAAGAGAGAGAGAAAUUACUUAAGCAGGUUAAAGACGAUAAUCAGGAAAUAGCCAGCAUGGAAAGACAGUUAACAGAUAUAAAAGAAAAGAUAAAUCAGUUUAAUGAAGAAAUUAGACAACUUGAUAUGGAUUUAGAGGAACACCAAGGUGAAAUGAACCAGAAAUACAAGGAGCUAAAAAAAAGGGAGGAAAAUAUGGACACUUUUAUUGAGACUUUUGAGGAAACAAAGAAUCAGGAACUGGAACGAAAGGCACAGAUAGAAGCCAACAUUGUUUCACUCUUGGAGCACUGUAGUCGAAAUAUAAAUCGUAUGAAACAGAUAUCUUCUAUCACCAAUCAAGAGCUAAAGAUGAUGCAGGAUGACCUCAAUUUUAAAUCUACUGAAGUGCAGAAAUCACAAAGUACAGCUCGGAAUUUGACUUCAGUCAGCGUCUGCAGUUGGAUCUGCAGAAAAUGGAGCUUCUAGAAAGUAAGAUGACUGAAGAACAGCAUUCUCUAAAAAGCAAAAUUAAGCAAAUGACAACUGAUCUGGAGACAUAUAAUGAUUUACCAGCUUUAAAAUCAUCAGGUGAAGAAAAGAAAAAGAAAUUACAUCAGGAGAGAAUGAUCUUAUCAACCCGCAGAAAUGCCUUUAAGAAAAUAAUGGAGAAGCUAAACAUAGAAUAUGAGGCACUAAAAACACAAUUGCAAGAAAAUGAGACACAUUCUCAGCUUACAAAUUUGGAAAGAAAGUGGCAACACCAUGAGCAAAAUAAUUUUGUGAUGAAAGAAUUCAUAGCAACCAAGAGUCAAGAGAGUGAUUACCGGCCAAUUAUGAAAAAUGUGACCAAGCAGAUUGCAGAAUACAAUAAAACCAUCGUGGAUGCUUUACAUAGCACUAGCGGAAACUGAGUUUAAGUCAACUGAAAGUCUCUAAGGAAGUAUCCUCUUGCUGCUAAACUUGGUACAAGUUGACUACAAAAAAAAAAAAAAGCUUACCUUUGGAGUUUACCUAAAAUUCCUGAAUGUUAUAAUUUUUGUUGCCUCUUUUAAAAAUGAUAUUUUAAAAUAGUCAAUAGUUCAGUAAAUGGUUUGCAUAUUAAAAAGUAUCGUCUUCUUUUCUUUUUAUGAUACUUGUAUUUGAACCAAGAGAUAAAGAAACUAAAAGUGACCGUUGAAAUUUAUUUAGCUGGUAUAAUCCAUCUAUGGCAACAAAUGAGAUAAGCUUUUCUUGUAUCAACUCUAGGACGGAUGCAUGGACUAUGAUUCUGAUUUAGCACUUAUAUCAAUGUUGUCAAUUUUUACUUCUGGAAAAAAAUAGUAAGAUCAGAAGGGAGAUUUUUAGCUUUGAACCUUACUUCUCAAAUAGGUUAUACUUGAUGUGUAUUAGACCAUAUAAUGUCACAGAUAAAUUUAUAACGCAUAUUCUUUAUAGAGCAGUUAUACCUAAAGAUUUGGAAUUAGAAACUUUUAAUGUUUGCAAUUCUUAAAAUAUUUUUUCAUAUAUAUAUUCUUGGAAGAACAUUAGGUAAGAAACUACAUUUACAGUGGGGUGUUUGGGACUAUGGCUACUGCUCUUCAUUGCCACCCUAUAGUAUGUGUUUACUCUCUUGUACUACUAGGACUUAAGUAGAUUAAUUUAUAAGCAUUAGCCAGAAUAUUUGGGAAAAAAAUCUGGAAGAGGUAGGAUUGGGAGAGAGGCAUAGAGUCUGGAAGACAUUAUAGUAACUGUAGAUGUAUCUUCUCUUAUUGUGCAGGAAUGAGUCACCUUGGCCAGCAUAAAAUAUUACUUAAAACUAUCCUAUUUUUGCUCUGAUAUCAUGUUCACUAAGUAACUCUACUUUUCAGUAUUUCUGAGACAACACAUUGAUUUCUUAAAAAAAAAAACAAAAUAGCUUUAUUGAGAUAUUAUUUACAUACCUUAAAAUUUACUCAUAUAUGUUGAUUUUUUAAAAUAAAUAUUUAUAAUGGUAAAUUAUUCAAAUUCAGUCUAUACACAUUUAAAUAAAGGAGUGAGCAUUGUUGAGCUCGCUUAACUCUGGAUUACUAAUAUGGCUGAAGAUCCUGGACAAUCUGUUCAUUAAGGUGGCAUUCAUAAAAUGUGUUCCACAAAUCCUGAGCAUCUCAUUAUUAAUAGUGUUAUGCCUUCAAAGGAUUCAUGGGGAAAGAAGUUUGGGAAACAUUGUCUGAAACAAAGGUGAAUUAUUUUAUUUUUUCUUGACUGCUUAUAACCCUUAAUAUGCUAAUGUAUAAUAAGGUCAAGAAGAAUAUAUACUGUAAAGCAUUUCCCAGAGAUAGUUGUCCACAAAACCCUUACUUUCACAGAGCCUAGGUCACAUGAGAUGUGUCAUUCCAAGAAAUAGACUUCGUACACCAAAUAGACUUCAUACACUAAAAUAAUUUCAUCUACUCAAGUCCUUUGGGUGGCUCUUUGGCCUUUUUCGGAUAACCCCUGAGUAUGUCUCUUUUUAGCCACCCUCAGAUGUUUAUGCUGUGAUUCUGUGGAGUUUUCUAUUGGAAAUUGGUAGCAGAAAGUGCUUAUUAAAUUUCACAAGGGAAAAAAACUCUUUUAGCAGUUAAAGAGAGUGAAAUCUUAAAUUCAGUAGAUUGAACAAGUAAUAGAUUUUGAUGACAGUUUGCCCAGCCCUUCGUUCACUCAUAAAAUAUUACUGUAAUUUGGUGAUUAGGAGCCUUUAUGAAUAUACGUGACUGCUGAAAAAUGUUCGUCUUUUAUACAGUAACAACCAGAGGUAUGAUUGAGCAUAGAGUUUAGGCAAGAGAACUGACUACUACGGUCUCUUAAUCACAUUGGUUGUACUUAGUGGAUACUUCCAAGGAGGAAGGGAAUCUGGAAUACGUGUUUGUGGAUGAGUAAUCUUUGUUUUCCUCGUUUGAAAGCAAAUUUAAAUGCCUUUACUUUUUCCUUAGUUUUUUUUUUUUUAAUUUCUAUUUAAGUGUUCUUGACAUUUUACUGUGCCCUUUUAAACUAAUAACCAACUUAGUAACUUUUACUAUUAGUAAUAAGGGUUUUUAUCUGAGUGGUGGGAUUAUGGGUGAUUUUAAUCUUCCUUGGUCUUUUUGGUAUUUUCAAAAUUGUCUAAGAUGUACAUAUAAUACUUAGAAAUGCAAUAAAAUUCAAAUAAAGUAUUAUAUACAGUUGCUACUUUAACUCAUGAAAAGGAUGUAGUAAAAACUCUUCAGUCUUUGACGCUAAGGAGAACUGAACCAAUCUUUAUGCAGAAAGAAAGUAGGAGGAAGAUUGGCCUGUCCAUUAAAUAUAUGUGUUUGCAUUAUAACAAUGGGAAAUUCGGGAGGAAGAAAAUUUCUUGACAAAAAGCAAGGCUUUCAAUUUCCAUCCUAAAUUAUUCAUAUAUAAUAUUGGUGUGGGGGGGAAAUAAUUGAGCAGGAUUUCUUUAAAUUAAAACAUGUUUUAUCUGAGGGAAAUUCUCACUAAUGUCUCUUCCUUCCUCUCAGAGCCUUUCCACAAAUCCAACAAGAAUAUUCUCUUUACUGGGAUAGAACUGGAGGCUAAUAGCUGCAUGAACUGGCUCUUCCUGAGUCAGUCACAUUACUCAGGGGGUUCCAUUCAUGCUAAAAUAACACCUUGUAAGUCACGUGGAAAGAAGCUGCAGACUGAACAAACAUGCUGAGCAGUUUUACUAGUGAAGAUCAACAUGGGAAAGUUAGCAAGUCUUUGUUUUUCCCAUCCUUAUCCUUUAUCAGUAAAUAAACAUGAGUUCUUGAUAUUCUUUUUCCUGUGGAGUCCCUCAUUUGGACAAUACUAUAGUCUCAUUUUAAGGUACAAAAUUCAGUGCGUGCUUGGAGGAUUACAGCAUGGAGUCAUGAUAUUCACACCAGAGAUGAAAGGCCAGUUAGUAGUAGCUCCAGGGGUUUUUGCUGUCCCCUUGCUCAGUUUCUCUAGACUUCUUUCCUUUUGCUAUACAAUUGCAGUGUAAACAACCUUAGGGAAAUUAUAAUGUUUAGACUUAAAGUAAGAAGAAAUAAAGAUGGACCACUAGAAAAUUGUAGUAAUCUAUUUUUAAAUUGAUAUUGUGUCUCAUUUUUAUAUAUGUUUUAAAAUAAAAGUAGAUUAUGUCUUAAAA